rnacentral:rRNA from 1 species
UACGUAGGGGGCAAGCGUUGUCCGGAAUCAUUGGGCGUAAAGAGCGCGUAGGCGGUCCGGUAAGUCCGCUGUGAAAGUCAAGGGCUCAACCCUUGAAUGCCGGUGGAUACUGUCGGGCUAGAGUCCGGAAGAGGCGAGUGGAAUUCCUGGUGUAGCGGUGGAAUGCGCAGAUAUCAGGAGGAACACCAAUGGCGAAGGCAGCUCGCUGGGACGGUACUGACGCUGAGGCGCGAAAGCGUGGGGAGCGAACAGG